rnacentral:tRNA from 4 species
GCCCGUUGGUCAAGCGGUUAAGACACCGCCCUUUCACGGCGGUAACACGGGUUCGAAUCCCGUACGGGU